AUGCUGCUGCAGACGGGUUGUGCGCACUUGGAGACGCAUCGAACACAGUGGCACUGCAAGAGGAAAGGGAGAAAAAAAAAAAACAUCUUAGCAGACAAACAAGGCUGUGGGCAGAAUGCAUUUAUUCUUUUGUGGCAGGUAAUCUUGAGAUACCAACCAUCUCCGCUACAAAUCGAUUGGAUGAAAAAUGUAUCAGAGUCGUGGGUUAUCAGCCAGGGAAUCCAAUCACAAUGCAAAUAAAGGUAAGUUGAGCAGGAUGAUGCAAGUCAUGUCUCAUGUUUUAUUCCUUCCUCUUGGUCCCUUAGGUGGAAAAAAAAAUGGGGGGGAAAAACAGACAUAUCCAAUUAUUAGCACAAACGGCAUUGAUUGUGUCCUUCCCUGGCAGAGUUUUUAAGAAAAACCACUGGGAAAAGGAAGACAGCGUCUACUUCAAACAUAAUGCCUGUAGGAACGAUUUCUGUUUAACGACACAUUAUAAUAGCAAGGGCUUUGUCAUUUAAUCAAACAGUCAUUCGCUCCAAUAUUUUCUCUAAUGCUUCACUGAACUUGCAUUUUAAUUAUUUUUCAGAAAGUGACAAAUUGCACACAUGUUAUGAACAGUACAACCUAACUCACUGUGUUUGUCACACAUGAUAUACAAAGAACAUAAAUGUGUUUUUAAUGAGGUUCCUGUCAUCCUGUAAGGGCUACUCAUAAAUGAUUAAGAAAUCUGAUGGAUGUGAGAACCUGUGGUUAGAUUGUGACUGCAUGCUACAGAUGUGUGCAUCUGUGUGAGUAAAGGUGGAGCCAGAUGAGAGGAGUAGAGUACAGAAAGGAUUGCAGGGAGAUAAAACGCACCUGACUGGAAUUGUGCUUCAGGGUUCAAAUCUCAGCUCUGUUAUUGCUGUAUGGCAUAAAAUGGCUUAAGGUGGUCGAGUACAAACCGCCCCCUUCUGUUAAAUACUUCUGAUAGGGCCGAUCCAAAUGAUGGAUUUCUCCAGUAGACACAACAUAGUGCAAACAGAUUAUAGAGGUUAACACUUGAAAUAUGGUGCUGACAGAGUUAUGGUUGCUUCAGCAUUUAUAGUCAUAGGUUCUCUUUUAGCAGUAUGAGUUAUGCAACAAAGACAACCGGCUUAGGUUGACUAUAAAUAGCCCUUUGUUUAAAAGUCAAUCAUUCUUCACUUAUAAAUGAACACGCCUGUCAUUGUUGUCAUUUGUCGAUUACUGUGAUCAUGUAUUUAAUGUGCAGGACAGAUUUAUAGCUCUGCUUAUAGAUAUACAGCUGUCUUCUGCAGAGAGCUUGGCAGUCCCUCAUUCUUUCUUUUAUAUUUGUGGAGGCUUUGCUGGAAAUGCAACAGUACACUAAAACAGGACUAAAUACAGAAAGAAAAUUUGGCUGACUGGAAACAUCGGUGUAAUUCACGAUUUAUUUAUUUUUAAUUGAGAACAAGGGAAAAUACAGCACCAUUAACCUUUUUGGUGGUGUAGUACAUUAUUUAUGUAACCUUUAAAUCAUUCAUGUUGGCAGCACAGGGUCUACAUUUCACACAUGUUUAUGGGAUUGUGUUUGAGGUUAAGUGCUUUGCUUGACAGCUCCAGUAAUAACUGGUGAUGGAGGGGAGGGGGCUGUAAGCCAACAAGAGCAUGCACUAUUUCUGGUAAGAUGGAAGGAAAUGCAGAAAAAACUUGUCAAUCAAGGUUAAGGUAUCAGCAAAAGCAACACUUUUGUAUCACUAUCUCCUUUGGUACACCGUAGCUUAUUUUCACAUCACCUAACAUUUAAGAGUAGGUGCACUUCAAAUUAUGGAAAAUAUUUUAAAUAAAACAUUCAUUAAGAGAUUCAUUAACACGUUUAGGAAGUCAGUGUUGAGCAGUAACUAUUAAGAAUAUUACUCCUUUCCUUAAGUCCACCUCAGCUAAAACAAACUGUGUGCUUCUCUCCAAAUUUUAUGAGGCAAAAUACUCAUCUAACAGUCUUCCUCACAUUUCAUCUUGCCUUGUGGGUAGUUGCUCUUGCCGUGUAAUUGCUUAGGAUGGGUACAAACGGCUGCAAAAUGUUCAAAAUAUGUAAUCUAGCACCUUGGGAGGAGAGAGCUUUCUAAAGCCUCUCAAAGGACACCAUCACCAUGGAAAUGACCAGUCUCUGAAAAUAACAGAAAUUAUCAUUGCACAGCAAUUACGGAUGUAGAAACAUGCACUACAAAAUUUAUUUGCCAUUGUGGGGUUUUUUUCUUCUUGGGAAAGCUGUGCUUGUAUAAAUGGCAGGUCAAAAGAAGAUAACAUUCAUUUGAAUUGUGGAUGUAUGUUGUUAAAAUGUAAAUCACAAAGUACCUACGACAAUAAAACAAAAUGAAAGGAU
rnacentral:lncRNA from 1 species